UUGAAUAGAUAUUUCUCCACAGGUGAUAUACAAAUGGCCAACACACACUCAUGAAAAGAUGCUCAAGAGCACUAAUGAUUAGAGUACUGAAAAGCAAAACCACAAUCAAAAACCAUGUUACACUCCUUAGGAUGGCUACUAUCCAAACAACAAAACAAUAAGUGUUGGUGAAGAUUUGGAGAAACUGGAACCUUUGUACACUGGUGGAGGGAAUGUAUAAUGGUGUCUCUACUCUUGAAAACAGUAUGGUGGUUCCUCAAAGAGUGAAACAGGGUAACCAUGUGAAACCAUAAUCUCAAAGAGAUAUUAGUCCACCCACAUUCAUAGCAUUGUUCAUAAUAGCCAAAAAGUGGAAGCAACACAAGUGUUCAUCAGUGAUGUGUGGAUAAACCAGAUGUGGUCUGUAUGUACAUUUUCAAGCAUAAAAUGGAAGGAGAUUCUGAUGUAUACCACCACCUGGACGAACCUUAGGGGGACACUUUGCUAACCAGUCACAAAAGGAUGAAGAGGGACCCUCAGCCCGUCAUGCCUUGUUCACCAUGGGCAAGUUCACGAUGACCAUGUGGUUCUCCCCUCGGUGCAGGGAGGCUGCCACUGGGCUCUAAGCACUGCAGCAACUUCAGGGUGAGAACUGAGGCCAAGGGCUAUCGUAAACUCCUGGUGGGCUACAACACAGCCAUGUCCGUCUGAGUGCUGGGAUCACCAUCGCUGCCUACCUGCCCUUCAAGGUCCUUGUGGAUGUUGCUCAUUUCUCCUGCAAAGCCUACCUGUCUGGAGCUAAUUGAUAGAGGCAGCACAGAGAGACUGGUGCCAUCAGAGGAAGAUGGUCAUCGCCUUGGUUUCCAAGAGAAGGGGCCGGCCACACCAUACGGUGCAGGGCCACAGAGGGGAAGCACCAUUGCCACAGGGAGCUGGAGCCUAACUCAGAGAAGACACAUCAGCAUGGUCCCAGGGGGAAAGACAACUUUGUGCACAUUGAGAAGAGCCCCAACAAAACUUGUGUCGUCUGCAUGAUCAGUGUGGGCCUGACGCUGCUCAAGUGUGGAACAUGGAGCACCUGGGCCUCUCCAACUUCAUCCCACUGCUGGUCCUUCUGGCCAUCUCUCCAGAGCCAUGUGGAGUCUGGAUGGUGGGGGAUUUCCUCUUUCUGGUCACCAUUUUGGUCAGCCUAGAAGGUAAGAGAGACCCUGGCCAAGGGAAACCUGUGGAGAGAUCGGCACUUGCAUAGAUGAGCAGGAAAUCUCAAGGAGAUGCUUGG